rnacentral:lncRNA from 1 species
GGGAAAAAUAUCAUUCCUGUCUUUUCCCUGAAGCUCUCCUUUUGACAGAAUGACUGGCUGAGGAGCCACAGGGAUGUGGAGAAACAAAGCGUCCCUCGGUCCUAUGGAAUCUGCUGCUUCUAUUCCAAGGAGAGUACAAACUACGACCUUGGUUGAACACUGGUCUACAGUGGAUACAUGUGCAGACUCUGAAUGAAAUCCGGUGACUUCUAAGCCUUAGUUACUAUGUCAUGUCUGCUUGCCUCAAGGACUGGAAGCUCCAGGAAGAAGAACAAACGCUCACAGGACUCACUGUUCCAUGUCCUCUGACUAACAGCUGGCAUGUUUGAUUAAAUGAAUAUCAAAGUUAGAUGAAACUGACAUAAAAAUGUCCCUCCCAUGUAAGAGUAAUACGUAAGACAAUGAUAAGCUGAACACAAACAGGUCACACUUCUGAAAAAUGCUGGACUGGUUCACACACUAUAAGAUGAAACACAGAAAACCAAAAUGGAAGACAUAGAGAGACCAGAGCAUUAAGUCUUUGAUAUUUUUGCUAAGCUUUACUGUUGCCGUCCAUGGCUAGCAACUUGUCUGCAGUCUCACAGCUUCAAUUCAAUGUUCUAAAAACUGGUUAAUUUUUGUUCUCUCCUGGUUUCAGGUAUCUUUGCCUGAUAGUCAGACAAUUUCUUAAUGAA